rnacentral:rRNA from 1 species
AACGAACGCUGGCGGCAGGCCUAACACAUGCAAGUCGAGCGAAGCCUUCGGGCUUAGCGGCGGACGGGUGAGUAACGCGUGGGAACGUGCCCUUUGGUACGGAAUAGCCCCGGGAAACUGGGAGUAAUACCGUAUGUGCCCUUCGGGGGAAAGAUUUAUCGCCGAAGGAUCGGCCCGCGUUGGAUUAGGUAGUUGGUGGGGUAAUGGCCUACCAAGCCGACGAUCCAUAGCUGGUUUGAGAGGAUGAUCAGCCACACUGGGACUGAGACACGGCCCAGACUCCUACGGGAGGCAGCAGUGGGGAAUCUUAGACAAUGGGGGAAACCCUGAUCUAGCCAUGCCGCGUGAUCGAUGAAGGCCUUAGGGUUGUAAAGAUCUUUCAGUGGGGAAGAUAAUGACUGUACCCACAGAAGAAGCCCCGGCUAACUCCGUGCCAGCCGCCGCGGUAA